GAAAGGGGCAGUUCUGAAGGAUGGAGUGUACUCCAACAACCUCAAGUUCUGCCUCCCUAAGAAUUUGUACCCAGCAGUCGUACAAUGGGCACACGGACCUGCACAUUUAUCAAAGGAUCUAAUGAAUGCUCUUGUACAAAAAUACUACCUCAUUGUCCCUAUAUGAGAUUCUAUUUGGGACUGCACCUAGGCUAGGUUGCUAUUUUCCCCAACAACUACAACUUCAAACUGAUGUCUUAGUAGAUUAUGUAACUGAACUCGCAAACGCCUUAAACAAAAUCCAUGCCCAAGUUUUCUCUUCAAUUCCAGAUCCUGAUUCUGACACAGGCAACCACAGUCUGCUCCCCGAUGAUUGGGUUCUGGUCAAGAAGUUUGUGCGAAAACAUACCUUGGAACCAAGAUUUGACGGGCCAUUCCAAGUUCUCCUAAUCACCGCAACCUCCGUCAAAUUGGCCGGCCGGCCACAUUGGAUCCACGCUUCCCAUUGUAAGAAAGUACUUGCCCCAGAGGAAGCUAGUACCGCACCACCAUGGACCUCUGGUACAGUAUCUUCUUAAUCAGCUUAAUUAAAGCUCAACAAGUAGCCAUCACUAAAGAUGCUAGUGGGUACACCUUCUGGUAUAAUUCAUCAUGUACCCGUGUGGCUACUUAUACUUUUGACUACUGUGACAUCGUAGAAUGCCCAUUCCCCACGUCACAGAUUCAGAAUAUCUAUAGAGAUAUCCC